UACUCUUCGAUUCUAGGUCUCGAGUUGAAGCAGAGUCAUGAAAGAAGAUGGCGGAAUGAAGGCUAGACAUUGUCGGAAUUGAAAUAAAAUUGUGAGAUCUUGGUUUUAAAAUAAAUAUCAUAUUUUUAUUCGAAUGUUUUCGAUUUUCAACAAUCAUUUUAUGUGUUUAAUUUUUAAGUUUCGAGGACAAAACUUUUUCUAAGGGGGUAAGGAUGCAACACCCCGCAUUUUCAAAACGUAUUUUAUUUGCUUAAAAACGUCCUAAUAUUAAAAUAAAAUAAAAUAUAGAUUACUAGUAGUAUUAUUUUUGCGACUUACGAAUUUAAUAUUGUGAUGUUUAUUGGAAAAUCAUUUUCGAAAUUUAAUUGUCUAAUGUACGACUAAUCUAAGCCCGUAUUUAACAUCAUUAACAACCGAAAUUCUGAAAUUUACCUAGUAUUGUAAAAUUAUAGAAAUACCCAUGCUCACUCAAAAGCCAAAAUCCAUACUCCUCUUUUGCUUCUCUUUCACGUGUUAAUCAAGUGAAUGAGUAGAAAUUUUUUCUUACUAUUUUGACUCCCUUUUCUCCUUAUUUCUGUCCAAAUUCAUUUUCUUGGUCUACAAGGUCAUCCCCUACUUCCUCCUUACUCCUCUAGACUUUUACGUGUAAGUGUAAAACCUUAAAGGACAAUAUUUCUUGACAAAUGUCAUAAGCAACUCACCCAUUUGAGCUUACUCAUCAAUUGUAGACUACCCGGUUUCUUCUCCCCCUCAUGUAAUUUCCAUGGUAUUGAUUUAGUGGUUUUGCCAAAACCAUUAAAGUUUAGCUCAUCCCUUACGUUUCUCGUCACCUAUAAUCCCCUAUAAAUACCCAAGUAUGCUGCCAUCAUUCUCCAUAUCAAGCAAGAACACACAUGUAAUUAGCUAUGAAAAUCCUCCAAAAUACCCUCUGUAUCUAUGCACCACCACCAUCGUAGCUGCCUCUACCUUCAUACUGAAGGAAAUAAUGCCCUUGGUCCAAGUAUGCAUAUAAUAUUAAGUCUAAUAAAUGCGGUUCAGUAUUAAUCAACAAGUUAAUAAUUCAGUGAGAUCAAGUGAGCUGAAUGCCUAGCUAGAGGCCGCUUCAGUUCAAGUGGAAUUAAUGAUAUUAAUCCACAGCUUACUCUUGACUAAACCCGUAGGGUCACACAAAUAGUACGUAAACGGAUCAAGUAUUUAAUGGCAUUAAAUACUCCAUCUAUGGAUAUUCGGAAUCGACGGAUCUUGGUUUCAGUGGGAGCUGAGAUCGUCACAAGCAAAAAAUGAAUACUCCGGAAACGAUGAUAUUGCCGGAAACGGAAAAAUGGAUCGUAUCGGAAAUAUAAAUAUUAUCCAAGUCGUAGAUGUUGCCGGAAACAGAAACAUGGUACGUAUCGGAAAAUAUUAAUGGAAAUGGAAAUAUUGCCGAAAUCGGAAAUAUUGCCGGAAACGGAAAUAUUGUCUGAAUCGUAAAUAUUAUCGGAAUCGGAAAAUAAUUCCGGAAACGGAAAUAUUAAAUAUUUGUUCGAAACGGAAAUUAAUUCCGGAAUCGGAAAUAUUAAAUAUUGUUCGUAUCGGAAAUGAAUUCCGGAAUCGGGAAAUUAAUCGGAAGCGUAUCGUACGAAUUAGCAUCGGACGAGGCCUGCCAGACGAAGGCCCAGCACGAAGCCGGGCCAUCGCCCAGCAAGCCAUCGCGCCACAACGCACCAGCCAAGGCUGCGCCAGGCCCACCGCAAGGCAGGCCCAGCGCGCGCCAAGGCUGCGGCAGCGUGUGGGCCUCGUGGCAAUGGGCUGCGAGUGCUCGCGGGCUGCGCGCGCGCGCAUGGCGCCCCUCGUGGGCUGCUGUGCGUACGUGUGUGUGUAUGUGUUCAUAUACGAAUCCUAAAGCUAUCAGGAUUCGAUAUAUGAUUGAAUUCCUAAUCCUAAAAGGAUAAAUUAAUUAAAUAAGAGAGUUCUACUAGGAUUCUAGUUUAAUUAAUUCGUAUCCUAGUAGGAUUCCAGUUCCUUUUCCAUACCUCUAUAAAUAGGUGCCUAGGGUCAUAAUUUAUAGAUACAAUUGAAGUAUUCUAAAGGUAAGAUUUUGAAGAAAAAUCAGCCAUACACUUGCACCUAAAUAGCUGAAAUUCCUAAACAACCUUAAGGGCGAUUCUAGUUGGUCAAGCUUAAGGCGGAUCCGGACGUGCUGUGGACUAUCUACGGAGGGACGACACUUGUAGUCCUAAAGACUUGUUCUUGUUCGGUUCGGGCGCAGCUAGGGAGGGCACGCAACAAAGUGUAUGCAUCUAAACUAUGCUAAAUGAUUAUGUGUAAAUAAUAUAUGCUUUCCUGGGUUUAUGAUUUUUCCGCAUGAUUUAUGUUUUGUCAUAUGAAUCGUAACCUAACACAUACUGCCACCAAAACACCACUCUAGUAAUUAACCUUCUCUCACCCCCUAACCACCAUGUAUGACUUCUAACCAAAAACAACAAGCUUGUAGUAUUUCGUUACCAAAACCGAAAACCGAAAUUAGUCCCUCUUUCUCCCUCCUCUGCGGUACGAACCACCGAACCACCACCACCUUCUGCCUCCACCGUCACCAACAUCACAAUCUACUCUUUAAGAACUAACGACCCACCCGAACUCAUGAUCAUGAUGUACCCCUCCUCUAUCCUCGCUGCUGUCACGGUGCAGAACCACCACCUCACCGGAGGCACCUUGAUACCUCCGUGAAACUCCGACCACCCAACCUCGGCGAGUACCACCUACUGCCACCCAUGUGCCGCUGCCACCUCACGCAAAUGCCACUUCACUGUUCUUCUCUUUUUCGUGUAGACAAAAGUUGAGUGUUUAAAUGUGUAAACCAAUUACCAACUAGAGUAAUAUUGUAUAGUACGUGGGUCACCAAAUUCCUAAGAUAAAGUCAACCUUCCUAUUAUCCUCUAAAUUUGGGAUAAUCGAUUUUUGGAGCUCAGGAAGAACGGUCCAUCGAACAGGAAGUAUAAACUACGGUUGAGGUAACAUCUAUUGCUAACACCCACAAUCCCCUUAUGAAAUGUGUUUUAUGAGUUUAUGAAAUAUGUUUAUAAUGAUGUGUUUUAUUGGAUUGUGGGAUAUGAAAUGUGUUUACAAAGUAUGUUUUAUGAUGAUUAUAUUCAAGCAUGUUUAUGUAUGAUUUUAUAAGAA